rnacentral:rRNA from 1 species
GAUGAACGCUGGCGGCGUGCUUAACACAUGCAAGUCGAACGGGAUCCAAGGGGUGCUUGCACUUUUUGGUGAGAGUGGCGCACGGGUGAGUAACACGUGAGUAACCUGUCCUUUUCUUUGGGAUAAGCAUUCGAAAGGGUGUUUAAUACCUUAUGUUCUGUCUGCCUCGCAUGGGGUGGGUGGGAAAGGCUUUGGCCGGAUUUGGGUGGGCUCGCGGUCUAUCAGCUUGUUGGUGGGGUGAUGGCUUACCAAGGCUUUGACGGGUAGCCGGCCUGAGAGGGUGGUCGGUCACAUUGGGACUGAGAUACGGCCCAGACUCCUGCGGGAGGCAGCAGUGGGGGAUAUUGCACAAUGGGCGAAAGCCUGAUGCAGCGACGCCGCGUGGGGGAUGAAGGCCUGCGGGUUGUAAACUUCUUUUGCUCUGAACAAGGCAUGCCAGUGGGUGUGUUGAGUGUAGGGGUUGAUUAGCGCCGGCUAACUACGUG